UACGGGGGGAGCAAGCGUUGUUCGGAUUUACUGGGCGUAAAGGGCGCGUAGGUGGCCAACUAAGUCAGACGUGAAAUCCCUCGGCUUAACCGGGGAACUGCGUCUGAUACUGGAUGGCUUGAAUUCGGGAGAGGGAUGCAGAAUUCCAGGUGUAGCGGUGAAAUGCGUAGAUAUCUGGAGGAACACCGGUGGCGAAGGCGGCAUCCUGGACCAAUACUGACACUGAGGAGCGAAAGCCAGGGGAGCAAACGGG
rnacentral:rRNA from 1 species